CUCCUACGGGAGGCAGCAGUGAGGAAUAUUGGACAGUGGGUGAGAGCCUGAUCCAGCCAUCCCGCGUGAAGGAUGACGGUCCUACGGAUUGUAAACUUCUUUUGUAUAGGGAUAAACCCAGAUACGUGUAUCUGGCUGAAGGUACUAUACGAAUAAGCACCGGCUAACUCCGUGCCAGCAGCCGCGGUAAUACGGAGGGUGCAAGCGUUAUCCGGAUUUAUUGGGUUUAAAGGGUCCGCAGGCGGGCCGAUAAGUCAGUGGUGAAAUCUCAUAGCUUAACUAUGAAACUGCCAUUGAUACUGUCGGUCUUGAGUAAAUUAGAGGUAGCUGGAAUAAGUAGUGUAGCGGUGAAAUGCAUAGAUAUUACUUAGAACACCAAUUGCGAGGGCAGCUGGCUACGCAUAUAUUGACACUGAGGCACGAAAGCGUGGGGAUCAAACAGGAUUAGAUACCCUGGUAGU
rnacentral:rRNA from 1 species